rnacentral:rRNA from 1 species
UACAGAGGUCUCAAGCGUUGUUCGGAUUCAUUGGGCGUAAAGGGUGCGUAGGCGGCGUGGUAAGUCGGAUGUGAAAUCUCGGAGCUUAACUCCGAAACUGCAUUCGAUACUGCCGUGCUUGAGGACUGGAGAGGAGACUGGAAUUUACGGUGUAGCGGUGAAAUGCGUAGAUAUCGUAAGGAAGACCAGUGGCGAAGGCGGGGUCUCUGGACAGUUCCUGACGCUGAGGCACGAAGGCCAGGGGGAGCAAACGGGG